GGGGUUGUAGCUCCAGUGGUAGAGCAUUCUCCCAGCACGUGUGAGGCCCUGGGUUCAAUCCUCAGCACCACA
rnacentral:tRNA from 1 species